AGUUCCUGCUUCGUUUAGCCCAUGCCAUUUUGGAAGGCUUUACGUGGUGUCGUCUGUUUUCGCCUCGUGGAAAAACAUUCACCUUUGCCGAGUGUCUUGCUUUACUUGUGAGUCGAGACGAGUCAUUUGCAAAAGUUUUUAAACGUUUUCAGUUUUCGAGCAUUAGUUUGUAGGGGAAAUAGUUUUGUCAAGUUUGUUCCCGCCGGCGUAGAAGCAUAUUGGAACUGUUGUCAUCCGGUGUUGACGACACAGAUCGCUGUCCCGUCUUGCAUCGAACAAAGGAAGAACAAAGCUGAUGUUCGUCCUGUAGCACAAUCUACGGGAAUUAUUGAAGAAAGUUGGUGUUAAACAUAUCGUGGCGUGGUUGUGUGAAGAGACGUUAAGUUGAGAAGUUUUUCUCCGUCAGACAGAACCAACAGACUGGGCUGACUGAUUCAGCUCUGUUAGCAUCAGCUAAGGUUAGCCGGACAAACAGGGGGCUAACCGCUUUUCUGUUUUCAUUCAGAAAACAAUUUUUUUUUUUCUUAAAUACGAGAAUGGCGGAGGGGUACAUUCGGGUGGCGGAGGAGGAAAACGAGGAGCCUAUGGAGAUCCCGGCCGAGGACGACGGUACGGUUCUGCUGUCAACAGUAGCGGCUCAGUUUCCAGGGGCGUGCGGCCUGCGGUUCAGGAGCCCCGUGUCCCAGUGUAUGCGGGGAGUGCGUCUCGUGGAGGGGGUCCUGCACGCGCCAGAAAACGGAUGGGGCAACGUUGUAUACGUAGUAAACUACCCAAAAGAUAACAAAAGGAAAAUGGAUGAAAUUGAUGCCUCUUCGGCUGUGAAGAUGAAGAGGGGAGACAUGAAGACCUCUGACCUGAUUGUUCUGGGUCUGCCCUGGAAAACGACUGAACAGGACCUGAAAGACUACUUUAGCACGUUUGGAGAAGUCAUAAUGGUCCAGGUUAAACGAGAUGCUAAGACUGGUAACUCCAAAGGAUUUGGUUUUGUGAGAUUCACAGAGUACGAAGCUCAGGAGAAAGUGAUUUCCCAGCGCCACAUGAUUGAUGGGAGAUGGUGUGACUGCAAGCUUCCUAACUCGAAGGUGAAUAUGCAGGGUCCCGAUGAGCCACUGAGGAGCCGGAAAGUGUUUGUCGGACGCUGCACAGAGGACAUGACCACAGACGACCUUCGUCAGUUUUUCAUGCAGUAUGGAGAAGUCACAGACGUCUUCAUCCCCAAACCAUUCCGGGCUUUUGCCUUUGUGACAUUUGCAGAUGAUCAGGUCGCCCAGUCUCUCUGUGGAGAGGACCUUAUCAUCAAAGGAGUCAGUGUUCACAUCUCAAACGCUGAGCCCAAACACGGCAAUAGGCAGUUUGACCGUACGGCCCGGUUUGGAAACGGCUUCGGGGCCCAGGCGUUCGGUAGCAACCGUAGUGGGUUGGGGAGCAGCGCUAACAGUAGUCUGGCUAACUUCGGGUCGUUUAGCCUGAACCCCGCCAUGAUGGCCGCUGCUCAGGCCGCUCUGCAAAGUAGCUGGGGCAUGAUGGGUAUGCUGGCGAGCCAGCAGCAGACGUCCACGUCAGGCAGCAGCUCUAGUGGGACCAGUUCGAGCAGGGACCAGGGCCAGUCUUUCAGCACAGGCAACAGCAACUACGGCACCAGCUCGGCCAGUCUGGGCUGGGGCUCAGGGUCAAACUCUACGACCAGCGGCAGCGGGUUUAGCUCAGGGUUUGGGUCCAGCAUGGAGUCAAAGUCCUCUGGGUGGGGUAUGUAAGUUAAGUGUUUCCAUGGUAAGUAUUGUGAGAGAGAUGAGUCUUUUCAAAAGUUUAUUUCUGGUGUUGAUGCGUAUCUGAAAACUAAACACUUUGGUGAAAGACGUUUUGUACAUUUGGAGAAAAAAAAAAGCUAAAGAUUUAACUUAGGAACUGUUGAAGUGAAUUGUUUACCAGGAUCUCUGACUAAAGUGCUAUUUUUGCUGUCUUGUUUGUUUGUAUCCAUUUCAACUGGAUUCUCUAAUGCAUGUAUUGUGAAAUGUGAUGCCCAUUUAGAAAAAUGCAUGAAUGUCUGCGGUUCACCAUUAUCCGACUUUUGUCACCAUCGGCUUGAGAGGCAAUCUUGCAUUGGAAAGAAUCUGGUUGAAACUUUAAUGUCUUUUUUUUUUUUUUUUUUUUUUAAAGUGCAACUUUAUUUGCAGUCAAGUUCUGUGGAAAAGCCUUCACUGAAAUCUCUUCUGCAGUUCACCUCUCUUCCAUUUCCCCGCGACGAAGCUCCUCUUUGGCAGCAUUCUUGGGGUGAUACCUGUAUCAUUCUCCCUCUUCCCACCUGUAAAUGCUAUGCCAUCAAAGAACGGCCUCACUCCGCAUGUUCUAAGAGACGGGACCUUGGGCUCUGCUGGUCGAGGUCUCCGUUUGAACCCUGACCUGAAGGAAGAAGAUGGAAGUUCCAACACUUUCAGUGUGUGGCCUUCUCAGACAUGACAUGGGGUAGUACCUGUCCUUUUGCUGCUUCUGUUGGCUUUUUAGAGCACAUUCCCAAUUAUAACCAUCAACUUUGACGGUUUGUGGUAAGUUUCUUUUAACAAACAUGCACCCAGUUAUCUGGCUUUUAGUAGUUUUCUCCUAAAAUGAUUUAAAGGAAAUAUAAACAUUGCAUUUGGACUGUUUUGUUUGUAGAGAUGCACCGAUCUGAGAUGCAGUUGCUGAAUUUCGAUCAAAUUUUUUUUAACCUCUGACCUACCGUCACUAAUAUAGAUUUUUUUUUUCAGAAUCAGAUUUUUCUUUUAAAUUUAAGAAUGACAAGUUAGUCUUUAAGUUUCUGAAUGUAAAUAAAAUUAAACUGUUUCUCUUAAGAGAUUUCUUUACCCCCCAAAAGAAGCAGCCUAAAUAAAAUUGAUCAUCCAGAUAAAUUUUGCUGGAUGAUAGAUUAGUAGUUGCGAUAAAUGUUAAAGUUUGUUGUUCUAAAAAAUACAAUAUUAAUUUUUAAACAACUCUUGUCACUGGAACUGGAAGACAUUUUAAAUAUCCAGACUAACAAUGAAAAACGAUAAAUGAAACAGAUUAAUAGCACACACAACCAAAACCAUAAAUGGAUAAAUUUUUCUCUACACAGAAUUGGCCUUCUGAAAAUAUUACAUUGGAAAUAAUCAAGCUCAUUUUUUAAAUCCAAAUUUAGUAAGUUCUAUCACUUAAAUAUUGUUGGACACAAAAUCCAAAUAAACUGAACUAAAAAAAAAUUUACCCUGACAUUGAGAAUAGCCAACAGUCUUUUAGUCAGAGGAGAGUUUUUUUCUGCGUGAUCUGUUGGUACUUCUACUAAUCAGAAGAAAGAUCAGAUGUUAGUCUCAGAUCAUCGUGAAAUAAGAUUAGUCAGUGUCUCGGUGCAUCUCUACUUUAUUGCUUUAUAAAUAUUGAGCUCUAUGCAUGGAUUAAAUAAAAAUUGUAAAGCAGACGGUUUACUUUAAUUGCGGGUACUUUCCUUUUCGCCCCUUCGCCAUUUCUUUCUUCUGCAGUUGCUUUUAAACCGUCAAAUCUACAGAAAGUAGUAACCAUGCAUCAGUUUUUACUCCCCUUAGGGAAACUUCAUACCUGCUGAUGAACUUUUUUUUUCCAGUGUUUUUUUUUUUUUUAAAGAAAUGUUUAUUUACCUGCAUAGUGUUUUGUUUGAUUAGAGAUCAAAAUUGCAUAUUUAGGAAAAAUGUUGGCCCCAAACCCAAUUUUUU